CAGCCGCCGCGGUAAUACGUAGGUGGCGAGCGUUAUCCGGAAUUAUUGGGCGUAAAGGGUGCGUAGGCGGCCGUUUAAGUUCAAGGUGAAAGCGUGGGGCUCAACCCCAUAAAGCCUUGGAUACUGGGCGGCUGGAGUACUGGAGGGGGUAGUGGAAUUCCAUGUGUAGCGGUAAAAUGCGUAGAUAUAUGGAGGAACACCGGAGGCGAAGGCGGCUACCUGGACAGUAACUGACGCUGAGGCACGAAAGCGUGGGGAGCAUAUAGGAUUAGAUACCCCCGUAGUCCCUGUCUCUUAUACA
rnacentral:rRNA from 1 species